rnacentral:rRNA from 1 species
UGAGGAAUAUUGCGCAAUGGGGGAAACCCUGACGCAGCAACGCCGCGUGGGUGAAGAAGGCCUUCGGGUCGUAAAGCCCUUUCGGACGGGACGAACGUUUCGCGGGGACAAUCCGCGAAGCCUGACGGUACCGUAAGAAGAAGCACCGGCUAACUCCGUGCCAGCAGCCGCGGUAAUACGGAGGGUGCAAGCGUUGUUCGGAAUUACUGGGCGUAAAGCGCGUGUAGGCGGCCCUGUAAGUCAGAUGUGAAAGCCCUCGGCUUAACCGGGGAAGUGCAUCUGAAACUGCUUGGCUUGAGUACGGGAGAGGGAGGCGGAAUUCCCAGUGUAGAGGUGAAAUUCGUAGAUAUUGGGAGGAACACCGGUGGCGAAAGCGGCCUCCUGGACCGAUACUGACGCUGAGACGCGAAAGCGUGGGGAGCAAACAGGAUUAGAUACCCUGGUAGUCCACGCGGUAAACGAUGGGCACUAGGUGUGGGGGGUAGUCCGACUCCUCCUGUGCCGAAGCUAACGCA